rnacentral:tRNA from 1 species
GGGCGGCUGGCCUAAUGGUAAGGCGCUUGACUUCGGAUCAAGAGAUUGCAGGUUCGAUCCCUGCGUCGCUCG